rnacentral:lncRNA from 1 species
AUCAUGCAUUCUGAUAGCACUAAGAUGUAUAGGGUUCUCCAAAGUCAUUAUUAGUGAGGAGGUUUGAAGAAGGUGAUUGCGAUGUAUGUUUCAAAGUGUUUGACUUGUCGGAAAAUUAAAGCAGAAACUUGCUACAACCGACGUAGGCUUGAUAAGAGAAGAGAAGAGGAAUUGAAGUAGGAGAAGUUUUGCUUUGGCUUAAUGUUUCGGAUCAAAUCCUCAUAUUUGUGAUUCAAAUGUUUCUGAGGCUAGUGUUAAAUGCUUUUGUUGUAUAAGUACACUUUGUGCCUAAUUAAAUGUCGAUGGUAAAUAUGAACUUACGUGUUUUGUGGAAGUUUUAAAAGACUUCUUAUGUUUAGGAUUUUGGAAUGAUAAGUUUAAUUUGUAUAAUGAUACGACCUUGUGAUCAAUGUUAGUUUUGUGAUUGUAUAAAUUCCCACACUAAUGGAUUUUAUGAUGUGGUUUCGUUUACAUGAGUUGGCUUUGGAUUUUAUGAAUCUUUGAGUGUUGUGUCGUAUGAUUAUAACUACCAAGUCUUAUGAAUUGUGGAUUAUGGGUGUGAAUUAUGACUUGAAUGAUUUUUAGUGUCAUCAAAUUUAGGAUUUCGUCUUAGAUUGUUGACUGAAUGAUUUAGUAAAUUAUGACUUGAAUGAUUUUUAGUGUCCUCAAAUUUAGUUUGGAUUUCGUAUUAUAUUGUUGACUGAAUUUUAAUAUUAUGGAUUUUAAGACAGGGUCACACCUCCUGAAUGUGAUAAAUCGGGGGGCG